AAUGACCAAAAGCACAGGCCCAGAGGGGCCGUGGGGCUGCAGCGGGGGUGUGCGCGGUCACGUCUCUGCCAGCUUGAUCCCACAGGAGGAGUGGGGUCCGUGAUCCCCCACGGAGUGAGGCCGGGUGCCCGGUUCCCCCUCCAGUGCCGGAGGGCAGCGCAGCAGCCGAGCUCCCUCUGCGGACAGCUUCUGCUCACUGCACCCGGUGGACAAGCGGCCGAGCCGGCUUCUCUUCUCUCUUCAGGGCCGGUCACAGCGGAUAACAUCCAAAUGUCCCCGCUCCGUGCUGCUGGGUGUCCUCAACUUGAAAACAAGUGCCUCUGCCUUGUGCCCAAGGACAAGCAUCCUGCGGGGCACGGCCAGGCUCUGCUCCCUGUGCCCCCCCAGCCGGCCCUGCCGAUCCGCUUCGCAGCUCCUGAUGUGACUUGGCAGCGCUACGGGGUCCCUUUGUGGAGGACAAGUUCGCCUGGCGGAGACACCGGGGACGUCCAGGGGGACGCUGUGGCGGUGGCAGGGCCGUGAAGCCGGGGCUGCAGCCGGUGCUGUGACCAGCAGAGGGGGACAGACACCGGGCGGGGAUGCUCCUGGCGGCUUGGCUCGGCUCGGCACAGCUCGGCACAGCUCGGCUCGAUUCGGCACAGGUCGGUCCUCGCUAAGCGUCGCCCCCAGGACGAGCAGCUGAAAGGGACGCAAAGCUUAUCUCGGGGUAAUCUGGGGUCAAGGUAGAUGCAGAUCUGAAGCCCCCUCCUCUGGUGGCCCCCCUGUCCCGGCUGCAUGGGCUGCCCUGUCCAUACGGGGUGCUGGCCACAUCCUGCCCUCCCGAGAAGUGCCACUGUCCCCACAUCCAUGCCUUGCACCCUAUGGUGUGUGCCAGUCCCAGGACACGGCUGGUGCGUGCCCACUGCCCAGGCUGACACGGGCUGUGCCAGGAGCCCAGCCGCCAGCUCUGGAUGGUGCUGGGUGUGUCCCCAGCUAAAUUUAAAGGACUCUGCGGUAUAAAUAUCCUCGGCUGUAAAUAAACACAAAGGCAAGAUGUUUAUCA
rnacentral:lncRNA from 1 species